CGCACCUUGCACCCUUUGGUAUUCCGAAGGGUAUGCCCGUUUGAGUGUCAUUGUAAUCUCACACCCUUGAUUUGUUUCUUGGGAGGUGGACUUGGAGGUUGCCUCUGCAAAGCGGCUCUUCUCAAAAGCAUUAGUGAUACGAACCCUUCACAAACCAGUGUAAUAAGAUUUCGCUGGACAUUGUAAGGAAUUAGUAGUGUUGCUUCUAAUCGUCCUUUUGGACUGUCGUUCGCGGCAUUUGACAACUUGACCUCAAAUCGGGUAGGAUUACCCGCUGAACUUAA
rnacentral:misc_RNA from 1 species